rnacentral:rRNA from 1 species
UACGAAGGGGGCUAGCGUUGCUCGGAAUCACUGGGCGUAAAGCGCACGUAGGCGGCUUUUUAAGUCAGAGGUGAAAUCCUGGAGCUCAACUCCAGAACUGCCUUUGAUACUGGAGAGCUUGAGUCCGGGAGAGGUGAGUGGAACUGCGAGUGUAGAGGUGAAAUUCGUAGAUAUUCGCAAGACACCAGUGGCGAAGGCGGCUCACUGGCCCGUACUGACGCUGAGGUGCGAAAGCGUGGGGAGCAAACAGG